AGCUGUUUAGCUAAAAAAAUGUUAAUUGGAAGAAGCAAAAGUGGAUGACGUGGUGCCAGUAAGAUGGUAUUGAUAUUAUCUAGUCUCAAAUAAGUUAGUCGCAGACGAAAAAUAAAACCUGUAAAAAGUUUCUGUCUAUAUUUACUUGCUCAAGUGCCAGUGAAACGAACGAUAGAAAAGAAGAAGCAUUCAAACUGUUGGCAAAUAUUUUGGUUUGGAUACAAAAACCAAGUAAAAAUGAUACUGGAAAGGCUGUUUACCUUUUGACUCCUGUUCCAAUCUAACCUAGUGGGUUCAAAAAGAAAGGACCGCGCUGGAAACAUGAGAGGGUUAAAAGGAUCAGCUCUUUUUGAAUUAAUAGUCGAAGUCGCAACCAGGUAGAAGUCGUAACUCGCUCGUAUGAAAGGAUUUCUUGACGUGAAAUAGUUAAUUUUAUUCAUCAACAACGCCAAGAAACAGAGCUCGCUCAAGAAACAGAAAAGAAAGAGAAAGAUGAAAAAGUAUUC